GUCCACGCCCUAAACGAUGGCCACUGGGUGUUGGGGAAGCGAUUCCUUGGUACCGCAGCUAACGCGUGAAGUGGCCCGCCUGGGGAGUACGGCCGCAAGGUUAAAACUCAAAGGAAUUGACGGGGACCCGCACAAGCGGUGGAUGAUGUGGAUUAAUUCGAUGCAACGCGAACAACCUUACCUACCCUUGACAUGUCUGGAACCCUGCUGAGAGGUGGGGGUGCCCGAAAGGGAAUCGGAACACAGGUGCUGCAUGGCUGUCGU
rnacentral:rRNA from 1 species